GAGACCAGACGGGGCUCCCCGUCCUCGCACUAGGUCGUCGUCUCCGCAGGAGCCUCGCGGGCACCCGUUGUCAACUCCAGACUUCCCCAUUCGCCUCUGAGCGAGGCUAACGACACAUUUCCCCAACAUAAAACGCGCGUUUCUAAAAAACGUUUCGACAGCGCGAUAUAUGGAAACACCGUAUAGAAAAAAUAAACGCGGUCGCAGGACGACGAAACCGUCGCAGGAAUCCAAUGGUGUUUCUGUUGUGCCUUUCAGGACGAAAAAUGCGAACGCGGCGAUGGAAACGCGCGCGCUGCCUGACGGUAGAUGCGUGAACUAGUUCGCUGUUGCGCCGACGGCUCUUGGACGACAUCAGGGGGGAAUAGGUGGGGGAGGGAGGAGGAGCGCGGCGCAUCGACGUUAUGCAAGGUUCCGUUUCCCGGUUUACAUUUUGCACUUAUUUGCCGACUUUAGAACGAAAGGGAUCGAUAUUUUUGUUUUCAAACAAAGGGCCCACGAUCUGACACUUGCGGGUGAUACUGAACUGAUCAGUCUUGGAGGCGCCCCAAAGGAUACGGCAAUGCGAGUUGCGAGCUAAUUCAAACUGAUGGCGAGCUUAAUAAGAAUUUUAACCUCUGUUUCAUUCUUCUUCUAAUUUAUUGCUUGUCCUAACCUGCAUUCUAGACCUGUUUUAGAGGCAGCGUGGACUAUCACCUAUUUUAAAAGUGUCUUGGUCAAGUCAGAACUUCUCAAAAAUAAGUAAGAAUUUCUGGAAAACAAAUCUGGGAUCAGCCUAUCAUAAAGAACAACAUGGAAAUCAUGGCUCAUCCUCAUCAUCGCUGGAUGGAAAAAGUUGUAGUAUAUGACAAUUGCGCAUUUGCGCUAGUUUCACAUUAUCAUUUAGAUAAAGAUUAAAUAAAGUGGUGUAAUUGGGUUGUAAAGAAUCACGCUACGUUCCAGAUAGCCAUUUUUAUCAGUUCUGCCUAGUUUUUUUUUUUAAUUUUCCAAAAGUGGAUACGAUGAUGAGUUAUUUUGUCCCCUCUAUGUAUAAAUACAUGUAUGAAAUACAACUUGGUACCAUCGGAGAAAUGUGACGAUUUGAUAGCAUGACUCCUCAUGUAUAAUGGAGAUAAGAACACGGAGACCGAUUGUAGAAAUAUCUAGACACUUGGGCAAAUUAUCAAUCCUGGAACGAAAUGAGCAUGGCAUAGUUGCUAAUUCUUAAUGGUAAAAUAGAGCUAAAAUACAUCUGCGAUAACACAAUAAUGAUAUAUAAAGAAGUCAUCUAUAAAAUGGGAGAAAUCUAUAGCCACCAUAAAUAAACAUUUAAAAAUGGGAGCCAGUUCCUUAUGGAGAGAUAUAUCACUGCUUCCAGUUAAGCUCCAAUUUCUUACGUGCGGACAACUGUAAUAAUGAUGAUCGGUAGGAAUUUAUUUCACACAAUAUAAACAGUACGAACCAUCCUGGGGUUUUAUAUAAACAGACUAUUUAAACA